rnacentral:rRNA from 1 species
AUUGAACGCUGGCGGCAGGCCUAACACAUGCAAGUCGAGCGAGCGGCGGACGGGUGAGUAAUGUCUGGGAAACUGCCUGAUGGAGGGGGAUAACUAAUGGAAACGGUAGCUAAUACCGCAUACCAUCAGAUGUGCCCAGAUGGGAUUAGCUAGUAGGUGGGGUAAUGGCUCACCUAGGCGACGAUCCCUAGCUGGUCUGAGAGGAUGAUCAGCCACACUGGAACUGAGACACGGUCCAGACUCCUACGGGAGGCAGCAGUGGGGAAUAUUGCGCAAUGGGGGAAACCCUGACGCAGCAAUGCCGCGUGAAUGAAGAAGGUCUUCGGGUUGUAAAGUUCUUUCGGUAGAGAGGCGUUAUCUACAGAAGAAGCACCGGCUAACUCCGUGCCAACAGCCGCGGUAAUUC